rnacentral:rRNA from 1 species
AAAUUGAAGAGUUUGAUCAUGGCUCAGAUUGAACGCUGGCGGCAGGCCUAACACAUGCAAGUCGAGCGGUAGCACAGAGAGCUUGCUCUCGGGUGACGAGCGGCGGACGGGUGAGUAAUGUCUGGGAAACUGCCUGAUGGAGGGGGAUAACUACUGGAAACGGUAGCUAAUACCGCAUAACGUCGCAAGACCAAAGUGGGGGACCUUCGGGCCUCAUGCCAUCAGAUGUGCCCAGAUGGGAUUAGCUAGUAGGUGGGGUAACGGCUCACCUAGGCGACGAUCCCUAGCUGGUCUGAGAGGAUGACCAGCCACACUGGAACUGAGACACGGUCCAGACUCCUACGGGAGGCAGCAGUGGGGAAUAUUGCACAAUGGGCGCAAGCCUGAUGCAGCCAUGCCGCGUGUGUGAAGAAGGCCUUCGGGUUGUAAAGCACUUUCAGCGGGGAGGAAGGCGUUAAGGUUAAUAACCUUGGCGAUUGACGUUACCCGCAGAAGAAGCACCGGCUAACUCCGUGCCAGCAGCCGCGGUAAUACGGAGGGUGCAAGCGUUAAUCGGAAUUACUGGGCGUAAAGCGCACGCAGGCGGUCUGUCAAGUCGGAUGUGAAAUCCCCGGGCUCAACCUGGGAACUGCAUUCGAAACUGGCAGGCUAGAGUCUUGUAGAGGGGGGUAGAAUUCCAGGUGUAGCGGUGAAAUGCGUAGAGAUCUGGAGGAAUACCGGUGGCGAAGGCGGCCCCCUGGACAAAGACUGACGCUCAGGUGCGAAAGCGUGGGGAGCAAACAGGAUUAGAUACCCUGGUAGUCCACGCCGUAAACGAUGUCGAUUUGGAGGUUGUGCCCUUGAGGCGUGGCUUCCGGAGCUAACGCGUUAAAUCGACCGCCUGGGGAGUACGGCCGCAAGGUUAAAACUCAAAUGAAUUGACGGGGGCCCGCACAAGCGGUGGAGCAUGUGGUUUAAUUCGAUGCAACGCGAAGAACCUUACCUGGUCUUGACAUCCACAGAACUUUCCAGAGAUGGAUUGGUGCCUUCGGGAGCUGUGAGACAGGUGCUGCAUGGCUGUCGUCAGCUCGUGUUGUGAAAUGUUGGGUUAAGUCCCGCAACGAGCGCAACCCUUAUCCUUUGUUGCCAGCGGUUCGGCCGGGAACUCAAAGGAGACUGCCAGUGAUAAACUGGAGGAAGGUGGGGAUGACGUCAAGUCAUCAUGGCCCUUACGACCAGGGCUACACACGUGCUACAAUGGCAUAUACAAAGAGAAGCGACCUCGCGAGAGCAAGCGGACCUCAUAAAGUAUGUCGUAGUCCGGAUUGGAGUCUGCAACUCGACUCCAUGAAGUCGGAAUCGCUAGUAAUCGUAGAUCAGAAUGCUACGGUGAAUACGUUCCCGGGCCUUGUACACACCGCCCGUCACACCAUGGGAGUGGGUUGCAAAAGAAGUAGGUAGCUUAACCUUCGGGAGGGCGCUUACCACUUUGUGAUUCAUGACUGGGGUGAAGUCGUAACAAGGUAACCGUAGGGGAACCUGCGGUUGGAUCACCUCCUUACCUUAAAGAA